rnacentral:misc_RNA from 1 species
CCUAAUUCAACACUUGAUACAGAGCCUAAUUAUUUUAUAAACUAACUACUUAUAUCAGACCCUAUAUACAUAUAUUUCAAAAAGAAACCUACCUAAAAUUAUCAAUAAUAUAUGUAAUCGAUUGAAUCUGAGAUAAAGAUUCAGGAAGCUGGAAUCAGAAAAGAAAAUACCAAUUUUGAGAUGUAGAUGGUAUAACCCAUUAAGCAAAAGCCUGAGCAGUAUAUACAAAUAAUUGAACAAAACAACCCCUAUAGCCCCAAAAUCAUUUCAUAUACUAAUAAUAUACACAAAGGCAAUUACAGAUUAAUGGAAGCUUUUCCCUAAAGAGGUUCAAACCAGUUGUUCAACAGAUUGUGGGUGAAAGAUUUCACAGGUCAAUUAUUCCCUUCUAAAGUACUCGAAAGAAGGAACAUAAAAAUUUUUUUAAAAAGAAAUGUGAGAUAAAAUUACUCACAAAGAAAAAAAGGGAAAAAAAAAAUCGAAAAGAAGAAGAAGAGGACAAGUAUUUAACAUGAGAUUACUGAGAGAAAGUGGGAGAAGUCGAAGAUGACAAAUUAAGAAAAAUAUAUUAAAGAACCACGAAAUGACAUCCGCCCAUUAGACUAGACUGCCAUCAGCUCGUAGGACUCGAACCGGAACUAGACCCGGCGCCGGAGCUAGAGCUGGAGCCAGAAAGCAGUUCAGCGAGAGCGCUCAUGGCUCGAACUUGCAUCUCCAAAGCAGCUAUAUAGUCAGUCGCUUCUUCUAGGAUAACAGGCAACGGUUGUUUCCGGCAACCAGGAACCAACCGGCCCAGAACACUCACUUUCCUUUGUACAGCUGGUAAACUCUUCCCUUUCAACCUCAAAACGCUAACUCUCGGCUUCUUCGAUCGGCUAGUU